GGGCGCUUCGUUCAAUGGCAGGACGGCGUUCUUAUACAGCGCCUACAUUCGUUCGAUUCGGAUAGCGCCUA
rnacentral:tRNA from 1 species